CCAGGAACCAGGACAAACAACAUCCAUACACACGGAAGAAGUCAAUUAGACGGUUUGUAAUAUUUCGCAAGGUCGAAGCUACUAAGGCGUAUUUUCUAGUUGGUUUUGUCUUCAGUGAAAUGGGCGUAAUUUUGCCUUACUAAGGCGUAUUUUCUGGUUAAAUACCUUUUAGCCGUGAAUUAAAAUGGUUUAUCAUUGAACGUCGUCAAGCUCUACUUGAAAUGCGUUCUGUCUGAUAAUGUGUAUUUGUUUUUUGCAUUUUCAGAAAUGUACGGAACAAAAAAGGGCAACACAAUGACUACUAUAUCUACGGACAGCCAGGAACCAGGACAAACAACAUCCGUAGACACGAAAGAAGUCGAUGAGACGAAAAGGGUACUUCAAAUACCAGGAGAACAAAACAAGCAGCCAAAAAGCAAUGGAGUGAAAACGAAAAAGGAGCUGUUCACAGACACUUAGAUCGUUUUUUGAUAAUCGGUAAAUUACCAGGGAAAAAAGAAAUACUUGCAUGUUUUGAAAGUGAGAAUGACCUUCACAACAGAAGUUGGAAAAAUGUCAAAGACUCUUGCAGAAAUUUAAUUGAAACAAAAAAGCGACGGGGACUUUUAACUUAAAAAAAUAUUACACAAAUAAUGCACGUUUAGGAAAAUACGUUAAAGGAUGAAGUUGCCACAUGUGUUUUGUGUGUUUUCUUGUUCUAUAUACUCUUUUCGAAAACGAUAUAUGUGUGCUUAUUGUAUUUGAAUGUUUUAUUAAUACGGUUCAGUCAAAAACGAUAUUUGUUCAUAAUCAUAUCGCCGAACAAAUUAGGAUUGGUAUAUAGUUCGGCCAAAGAGUGUUUCUUUGUACUUUCUAUUACGAGUUUCUACGAGUUACUCACUUUACAAGUUAUCUUUUACCCUAAACUUGGUGAAUAUGAAUGAAUAUAGCAAACAUGAUAAAAAACGUUCAGAGAAGGCACACAAAAAUUCAGUCGGAUAAAUUGAAACAAACGUUUUGUUCAAGCAUAACAAACAAACACUUUUAGAUGUAAUAAGAUAAAUGUAAAUAACAUAAAAAACUACUGCUAAACUACUGUUACAAUAUGAAGAAUACAAAUGAAUAUUUUGUCAAUUUUACAAAAUUUGUUUUGAAUGACAGGUGUCUGACUUGCAGUUGAGUACUUAAUAGUUAUUUUAAAGUAAACAUUUACCAAAAUGUAAAUUAUUGCGUAAAUAUCGCACUAGAAUUGAUUAAAUAGUUGUUAAAUAUUACAAUAAUUUCCUACACAGAUUUUUGUUCAUUUGUUUUGCGUGUAGAUAUUCACAUUAGCUAUCAAUUCACAUAUUUGCUUUGUGUAUAUAAUUGGUAUGUUUAUAUGUUUUUCAUAUCAAAAUUGCUUGAUCUACAAAAAUUCGCGAGGAGUUAUGCAUUUUUUCCCAUGUUUUUAAUUGAAGUUUAUAAUUCAACGACGAUGAAAAAUACUAAGAUGCCAGAUUUAGUUAUGUUUUUGUCUCAUUUAUGGUUAAAGAUCAAUUAACAUACCAAUUUCCCAGACUAAGAUAUUGUUAAAACAAUUUAUCGCGUUUGCGACUGACCUCUUUUAUGCAUUCUAACACAAGCUAUUUAC